rnacentral:rRNA from 1 species
GAUGAACGCUGGCGGCGUGCCUAACACAUGCAAGUCGAACGAUGAAGCCGGAGCUUGCUCUGGUGAAUUAGUGGCGAACGGGUGAGUAACACGUGAGUAACCUGCCCUUGACUCUGGGAUAACUGCGGGAAACUGUAGCUAAUACCGGAUACGACCCUCGGAGGCAUCUCCUGGGGGUGGAAAGAAUUUCGGUCAAGGAUGGACUCGCGGCCUAUCAGCUAGCUGGUGAGGUAAAGGCUCACCAAGGCGACGACGGGUAGCCGGCCUGAGAGGGUGACCGGCCACACUGGGACUGAGACACGGCCCAGACUCCUACGGGAGGCAGCAGUGGGGAAUAUUGCACAAUGGGCGCAAGCCUGAUGCAGCAACGCCGCGUGAGGGAUGACGGCCUUCGGGUUGUAAACCUCUUUUAGCAGGGAAGAAGCGAAAGUGACGGUACCUGCAGAAAAAGCACCGGCUAACUACGUGCCAGCCGCCGCAGUAA